AUACUAUUUCCUAGGGCUCUUUGUCCUUUCUCUGCUGUCUUUGUGGACUGCUACUAGAAAAUUUAGUUCCAGGAUCUUUUUUUUAUGUAGUAACCGUGGACAUCACACAAACUGAUUAUGCAACAUCACUUGGUAAUAAAGCUCCAGAGUUAAUAGCAACAAAGAUUGCCCUCAACAAGUUAUUUUGCUAAUAUAGAGUUGUAUACAUUUUUCCAAAGUGGAAAAGGCUAAAGAAUCCAAAGGUAGCCGAGCAUGAUUUUCCACAGAGGGCCAAGCACCUGUAGUUUUCAUUUACUUCAGUUGGUGUCAUGGGGGCUUCCACACUUCUGAAAAAUAGAUCUCACCUCAAGGCAUUGGCUUUCUGUUCUAAAAUAUUCAGCAUUAUAUUAAGAACAAACAAAUGUGUACAUAUAGAAAGAUCAUUUUUAGAACAAAAUGUGCUAUGAGUGAAAUAUUUCAUCCUGAAAAACUAAACUAUUUGCAAAAUUUAUAUUCUAAAAAGGACUUUUAAAGAGUAUAGAGCCAAGUGAAUUAUUGCACUUUAAUCAAAACAUAUUUGAACAGAAUCUAAUAUAGUGUGUUGUGAGAACUGUACCUCAAAUACUGAGAGCAGCAUUAAAAUUGCUUUAAUACAAACAAUGCAAGGAAAUGAGAUUACAAAGGAUUUUUUUGCAAUUGCUUUAGUGAAUAACUAAAUGCACAAGUGUUACUUGGAAAUUGCACAUUGCUAUUCAAACUAUGCUAUUAGUAUGUAAACAUUGAUCAGGUAUUUCUCUGAAAUAUACAAGCAAAAUUCAAUUAAUUUAACAAAAAGAUUGAGGUUUAAUCUAAAUAGUAAAUGAAAAGUGUGAAUGUAGGAUUUCCUGAUGACAGCAUGUUUAUUAAUAAAUGAUCAUUCAAUUGAAUUUUAUAAUAAAAACAACUAUGUACACUAUCUUUUGCAAAUUUAAUUAUUUUGUUGAUAGAAUUUGCAGAGGUAAUAAAAUACAGUUAAAUCUAUAAUAAUGAUUUAUAAAGAUGGGAUAUCUUUAAAGAAUCAAAGAAGAAAUUCAGUUUUCACUGCUCAAACGCAGUAUUUUAAUGCUUCUGGAUUAAGUAUAUAGCAUCAAAUUGCUCAAUUAUAGGUUUCAGAGUAGCAGCCGUGUUAGUCUGUAUUCGCAAAAAGAAAAGGAGUACUUGUGGCACCUUAGAGACUAACAAAUUUGUUAGUACUCCUUUUCUUUUUGCUCAAUUAUAGUGACACAAAUCUGGAGUAGUGCCAUUCAAGUAACUAGUGACUUUCGUUUUAGACCAUUGUAAUGGAGAGCAGAAUUUGGGGUCCACGGGAUUUACUUUGUAAUCCACUAUACUGCAGGUUAUUUGGCUGGUUACUGCAGGCCAAAUUCUGCCCACAGGUGCCUUCCCUGCAGUUCCGUUGACGUUAAUGUAAGUAUGAAGACAGAAUUUGGUUCUAUGUUUUUUGAAGAUGAAUAACCGUUUGCUGGUGCUACUUGUGAAGGGAGUGGAGGGAGAAAGAAAAUAUCCUUACUAAUUGUUUAAGGUUGAGGUGUAAUGCUUAUUAAAAAAUAUGAAUCAAACUUAUGGUGUGUUCCUGUAGUCCUCACUAAUCCCAUUUAAAUACUUGGGCCCCAGUUCAGCAAAGAUUUAAGCACAUAGUGAAAUCCCCAUGACUUAAAUGCUUAAUGAAUUGAGGCCUUAAAGACCAAUGGGCAACAACAUCUGUGGUUUAGUCACAGGGAAAUCCCUCAGCCCUGGUUGGGAUGCCUCAUAUCUUUAACCUAAUGAAUAAGAGCACACACACAUCUAAGCUCCUUCUCCUCCUGCAGGUCAAGCAGGCUGACAAAUCUGUCAAGAUGUUAGUUCCCACCAAUCGCAAUGCAGGGGAUAGCCACGGUUCCAUGAAAAAUUCAAUUCCCAUGAAGGUCAGAGAUUAUCUGGAAAUUGAAGGACUUGACAGAAGUCAAAUUAUGCCCACCCCAACACACAGUAAGUAGUACUUUACUCUGACUAGUUCUAGUGAUAUGAAUUAGGGUUACCAGUGAAGUAAAAUAUGACUAGAUAUAAUUAAGGGUAACCAAAUCAGACCCCAAAUUGAACUCAAACCCUGUUUAAAAAAAACUUUAUAUUUUCCUGCUGAAAUUCUAGUAAUCACUUUUUUUUACCAAAUAUAUAAAACCUACAAAUAAGUAUAUUUGUCAAUGUAUUUAUUUUCAGGUUAAAACUAUAAACAUUUUGUUUAAUAAUUACAAUUAUUUUACUUGAUAAAAUUCUUUGUAAUAUUGUUAGUUCUAUAUAAACAUCCUAAUUUCAGUCUUGGUCCUUGGACUUCAGUGGGUGAAGGAAUGGGCCUUAAAUAGCUGUUUAAAGAUGAAAAUGAGUCUUUUAUGUAGAACCUGCACCAUGAAACACAUUUCUUCAUAAAUUUCUUCUACAGACAACUGCACAUUGCUUUGGAAUCAUCCAGUUCAUCAAUGCUCACUCCAUAAAGGUUAAUAAGUUGUGGGUGCACCCUAGGAUGUGAAGAAAUAAAAAUAAAGUAAUUUA